CCUUCGGGAGCUGACGAGUGGCGGACGGGUGAGUAAUGCUUGGGAAUCUGGCUUAUGGAGGGGGAUAACUACUGGAAACGGUAGCUAAUACCGCGUAAUCUCUUAGGAGUAAAGGGUGGGACUUUCGGGCCACCUGGCCAUAAGAUGAGCCCAAGUGGGAUUAGGUAGUUGGUGGGGUAAAGGCCUACCAAGCCGACGAUCUCUAGCUGGUCUGAGAGGAUGGCCAGCCACACUGGAACUGAGACACGGUCCAGACUCCUACGGGAGGCAGCAGUGGGGAAUAUUGCACAAUGGGGGGAACCCUGAUGCAGCCCAUGCCGCGUGAAUGAAGAAGGCCUUCGGGUUGUAAAGUUCUUUCGGUGAUGAGGAAGGUGUUUUGUUUAAUAGACAAAGCAAUUGACGUUAGUCACAGAAGAAGCACCGGCUAACUCCGUGCCAGCAGCCGCGGUAAUACGGAGGGUGCGAGCGUUAAUCGGAAUAACUGGGCGUAAAGGGCACGCAGGCGGAUUGUUAAGUGAGAUGUGAAAGCCCCGGGCUCAACCUGGGAAUUGCAUUUCAGACUGGCAGUCUAGAGUAUUUUAGGGAGGGGUAGAAUUCCACGUGUAGCGGUGAAAUGCGUAGAGAUGUGGAGGAAUACCGAAGGCGAAGGCAGCCCCUUGGGAAUAUACUGACGCUCAUGUGCGAAAGCGUGGGGAGCAAACAGGAUUAGAUGCCCUGGUAGUCCACGCUGUAAACGAUGUUGAUUUGGGGAUUGGGCUUUAAGCUUGGUGCCCGUAGCUAACGUGAUAAAUCAACCGCCUGGGGAGUACGGCCGCAAGGUUAAAACUCAAAUGAAUUGACCGGGGGCCCGCACAACCGGUGGAGCAUGUGGUUUAAUUCGAUGCAACGCGAAGAACCUUACCUACCCUUGACAUCCAGGGAAUA
rnacentral:rRNA from 1 species